rnacentral:rRNA from 1 species
GAUGAACGCUGGCGGCGUGCUUAAUACAUGCAAGUCGAACGGAGAGAGUAGCAAUACUGUCUUAGUGGCGAACGGGUGAGUAACGCGUUGGUGACCUGCCCCGAAGAGGGGGAUAACAGUUCGAAAGGACUGCUAAUACCCCAUGAUAUCUACCCGGUUAGAGGAGGUAGAUGAAAGGAGAAAUCCGCUUUGGGAGGGGCCUGCGUCCCAUCAGCUAGUUGGUAGGGUAAAGGCCUACCAAGGCAAAGACGGGUAGGGGGCCUGAGAGGGUGACCCCCCACACUGGCGACUGAAACAACGGGCCGACGACACCUACGGGUGGCACG